rnacentral:rRNA from 1 species
ACGCUCGACACCUAGGAGGCAGCAGUCGGGAAUAUUGCGCAAUGGAGGAAACUCUGACGCAGUGACGCCGCGUAUAGGAAGAAGGUUUUCGGAUUGUAAACUAUUGUCGUUAGGGAAGAAAAAAGACAGUACCUAAGGAGGAAGCUCCGGCUAACUACGUGCCAGCAGCCGCGUAAUCUGAGGCGGGCGUGGACGAAGGCG